rnacentral:tRNA from 1 species
AGUCUUAUAUUCAUUAAUGAUAUAAAAUUGCAAAUUUUAAGGUAUAAAAAAAAAUUAUUAAGGCUU